rnacentral:rRNA from 1 species
AUUGAACGCUGGCGGCAUGCCUUACACAUGCAAGUCGAACGGCAGCACGGGAGCAAUCCUGGUGGCGAGUGGCGAACGGGUGAGUAAUGUAUCGGAACGUACCUUUCAGUGGGGGAUAACGUAGCGAAAGUCACGCUAAUACCGCAUAUUCUGUGAGCAGGAAAGCAGGGGAUCGCAAGACCUUGCGCUGAUUGAGCGGCCGAUAUCAGAUUAGCUAGUUGGUGAGGUAAAGGCUCACCAAGGCGACGAUCUGUAGCGGGUCUGAGAGGAUGAUCCGCCACACUGGAACUGAGACACGGUCCAGACUCCUACGGGAGGCAGCAGUGGGGAAUUUUGGACAAUGGGCGCAAGCCUGAUCCAGCCAUGCCUCGUGAGUGAAGAAGG